CCCUAAGAAUUUACAAGGAAUGGAUGAAGAAAAAUAGAAGAAAAAAAAACAAGUACACAGAGAAUCACUCAAACUCUAAAGUUGAUUUUCUUCACACUGAAGAAAAUCAACAACUAACCCUAAGCCUCGGCCUCCAUCAAACUCCAUAUACACCUUGCAGAAAGAAAAAAAGAAAGAGUUAGAGGGGAAUCAAAAUCAGAGUAAAAAGAAAAGAAAAAGGAAA
rnacentral:lncRNA from 1 species